GAUGAACGCUGGCAGUGUGCCUUAGACAUGCAAGUCGAACGAAGCAAUCUAAAGUUUACUUUGGUGCGCUUAGUGGCGAACGGGUGAGUAACACGUGGGUGACCUGCCCCCAAGUGCGGAAUAACAGUUGGAAACGACUGCUAAUACCGCAUGUGCUUGCAACUUUUGUGUUGUAAGUAAAGAUUUAUCGCUUGGGGAUGGGCCCGCGGCACAUCAGCUUGUUGGUGGGGUAAAGGCCUACCAAGGCGACGACGUGUAGCCGACCUGAGAGGGUGACCGGCCACAGGGGUACUGAGACACGGACCCCACUCCUACGGGAGGCAGCAGUUAGGAAUCUUCCACGAUGGGCGCAAGCCUGAUGGAGCGACACUGCAUGAGGGAUGACGGCCUUAGGGUUGUAAACCUCUGAACCAGGGACGAUAAUGACGGUACCUGGGUAAUAGCACCGGCUAACUCCGUG
rnacentral:rRNA from 1 species